GGGAAUCUUCGGCAAUGGACGAAAGUCUGACCGAGCAACGCCGCGUGAGUGAAGAAGGUUUUCGGAUCGUAAAACUCUGUUGUUAGAGAAGAACAAGGAUGAGAGUAACUGUUCAUCCCUUGACGGUAUCUAACCAGAAAGCCACGGCUAACUACGUGCCAGCAGCCGCGGUAAUACGUAGGUGGCAAGCGUUGUCCGGCUGUAUUGGGCGUAAAGCGAGCGCAGGCGGUUUCUUAAGUCUGAUGUGAAAGCCACCGGCUCAACCGGGGAGGGUCAUUGGAAGCAGGGAGACUUGAGUGCAGAAGAGGAGAGUGGAAGUCCAUGUGUAGCGGUGAAAUGCGUAGAUAUAUGGAGGAACACCAGUGGCGAAGGCGGCGCUCUGGUCUGUAACUGACGCUGAGGCUCGAAAGCGUGGGGAGCA
rnacentral:rRNA from 1 species